GGGGUAGUAAAUUAAGAAACCCAGUUCCUGAUGGCGGUGUGAGCAGAGAAGGGUUGUCGUGGUCAACGUGUUUGAAGAAGACGAUGGACAUUGCAAACGAUGAGGUUUGAGAAUUAAAGUUACAUUUGAUUGUUUAAUUUAAUUAGAUAAGGAUUGAGGACUAAAGCUGCAUCUAAUUUUUUUGGUUCAAUAGCUUUUAAUUUUUAAUUUCAUUUUAAAUUUAGUUUUAAUGAUUUUAAAUUAGUUUUUAUAAAGUUUUUAAUAAUUUAUUCAUGUGGCAAUAUUUAAUAGACUUGUUGGUCCACAUAUGUGUCAAAUCAACAUACUAAUAGAAAUUUGGGUAAAUUACA
rnacentral:lncRNA from 1 species